ACAGACACCUCCUCCUCCAGAUGACCAGCAUUGCCUCUGGGUUUGUCACAAGCUGGAACAGGGUCCUUUGGAGGAUGGGGCUCUCUGAAGAAAAAGAGGUGAAGUGUUUGGAUUCAGUCUGAGCCAAAGGGGCCACUUUAUCUGGGUUUAAGGACACAAGACUCCGUGAAAGACAAGCUAGUUCUUCUUCCUGCCCUGGGAGUCCACUGCAGGCCUAUGCAGACGCAACCACUUCCUCAGCCACGGUGGCUGAGAGCCCGCCACUGCACUUUCUUACGCAUUAUCCCUGCUGUCUCUGGGGACUUCUUAAAUGUCAGCAAUCGUUGUCAUCUUCACUGUGGCCUCCGCAGCCACCGCACAUGGCUGCACCUGGGCCAUCUCCUCUGAUGUAAAGGCCGUGCAGCCAAAAUUUGCAAUUCUUCCCCCA
rnacentral:lncRNA from 1 species